UACGAAGGGGGCUAGCGUUGCUCGGAUUUACUGGGCGUAAAGGGCGCGUAGGUGGCGUCGUAAGUCUGUGGUGAAAGCCCGGAGCUCAACUCCGGGUCUGCCGGGCAUACUGGCGAUCUUGAGGCAUUCAGGGGCGAGCGGAACAAAUGGUGGAGCGGUGAAAUGCGUAGAUAUCAUUUGGAACGCCAAUGGUGAAAACAGCUCGCUGGGAAUGAUCUGACGCUGAGACGCGAAAGCCAGGGGAGCGAACGGG
rnacentral:rRNA from 1 species